AUUGAACGCUGGCGGCAUGCCUUACACAUGCAAGUCGAACGGUAACGCGGGGCAACCUGGCGACGAGUGGCGAACGGGUGAGUAAUGCAUCGGAACGUGCCCAGUAGUGGGGGAUAGCCCGGCGAAAGCCGGAUUAAUACCGCAUACGACCUACGGGUGAAAGCGGGGGACCGCAAGGCCUCGCGCUAUUGGAGCGGCCGAUGUCAGAUUAGGUUGUUGGUGGGGUAAAGGCCUACCAAGCCUACGAUCUGUAGCUGGUCUGAGAGGACGACCAGCCACACUGGGACUGAGACACGGCCCAGGCUCCUACGGGAGGCAGCAGUGGGGAAUUUUGGACAAUGGGGGCAACCCUGAUCCAGCCAUGCCGCGUGCGGGAAGAAGGCCUUCGGGUUGUAAACCGCUUUUGUCGGGGAAGAAAUCUUUCGGGCUAAUACCUCGGAAGGAUGACGGUACCCGAAGAAUAAGCACCGGCUAACUACGUGCCAGCAGCCGCAGUAAAAC
rnacentral:rRNA from 1 species